GUCUACAGCCAUACCUCCCUGAAUGCACCCGAUCUCAUCUGCUCUCAGAAGUUAAGCAGGGUCGAGCCUGGUUCGUACUCGGAUGGGAGAAGUCAGUGAGAGAUC
rnacentral:rRNA from 1 species